UCUUUCAAAACCAGUUUCGUACUCAUGUAUUAUAUAAAAUUAUGAUUUUGAAUUAAAAAAAUAUUAUAUAAAAUUAUCAUUUUCAUUUUUUACGUAAUUAAGGUUGUGAAUUGUUUUAGGCCUUUUGGAUUCCCUUUACCUACGUAGUCUUGGGAAUGAAAAUAACUUCUUCCUAAGCCCACUAUCUCAAAUUCUCAAUCAUAUCUUUAAUUUUCUUUAAUCUGUAUGAAUCCGCAAUCAUAUCUCAAAUUCUCAAUCAUAUCUUCAAAUUGUCAACCAUGAAUCCUCCUCAUACAAAAAUUUCAAUUCACCAAGAACCCUUCAUAGAAAGCAAUCCACCAUCCGCUGGCGGUGGAAGGUCGACACGUUCUCUUUCCCGAUCGCUUCUCCAUAACGGCAACUGCAACCGCCGUCUCCAACACCACGUACAACCACCAUCUCUGCCUCUAGUUCUUCAGCUCCUGUAAUUUUAGCGUGGCUAGUUUGCAUUGAUUUUUUAAGGAAUAGUAGAAGCAAGUUUUAGUAUGUGUUAGAAACAUGAGUGCAAAGAUUGACACAUGCACCGUCGCAACUUCUCCAUCUACAUCAUCAACUACUGGCGCAAAAAUACCUAUGUUCAAGGGGAAAGCAGUUUUCGUGAUACCAAAAAAACAAGUUUUCAGGUUCACCUAGUUCCUAUUUUCAAAGGUCUUAAAAAGUAAGAGUGCGAUGAUGCUGCUAUAGAUGAAGUAACAAACAGCUGAAUAGAAAGACAAAGUGGGGCCUUGAUCUUACCCAAGAUACUUCUGUGAGGAGGGGAAAAACUUUAGCGUAUCAGUACUUUCCUCAAGUUCUUGCACUUAUUCUCAAGCGACGAUUGACGAGACAAGCCAUACUUUGGUUAUAUAUUUUUUCAAGCCAAAACAAGUUAUCAAUGAUCAAAUUGAUGAAGAUGAAGAAAAUGAUCUUCUGGACGUUGAUCAUGAAUGAUCUUUGUAGCUGGUGCAUAUUGAAACUUUCUAGAAAAUAUUUUGGGAAUCUAGUAGCAAAUUAAUACAUUUGAAGUACUUUGGAUUUGAACUUGUGAUUCGAUUUUGGAGAACGUUAUGUUACAUUAGUUUUAUUUAAUUUAUUGCUUUGUAGAACAAGAAGUUGGUACAUUGGUCGGUUUGUAGAUUUUUUAUGCAUAUAUAUAUAGAGU